CUGAGUCUCCGAGGGGCUGGUGGCCGGUGCCUGCGGGGCCCGCAGCGGGGGCCUCUGGCUGGGAGGGAAGGAGGAACAGCCAGGGGCCCAAGGGGCCGACGGGGGGGGGGAUCCUCAGGGGACAGAGGCUGGGAGGUGAGACUUGCGGAAGAGAUGGCCAGGAAGAGCUUCUGGGGCCUGAGGGAGCAGAUGGAAAAAGCACUGUGCUUGGGACAAAGAAAUCUGUUUGUGCUAUUGUUCAUUCACACUUGUUCAUCAAGGCCUUUGAGUCCUCAAAGGUAGAAUUUACCUCUAAAUAGAAAGAUGGCAACUGAAGUACAUCUAUCCUGCCAGGUUGCACAUGGCGCUGUGAGUCCUUUGCCACUCCAACGUAUUUUGGAGCCAUGACUCAGAUAGAGUGGUGGCAGCAAAUGUAAAGCCCAUUGGCCCUGCCUCAGGCUAUCCAACUGCCAUCCUUGCCAUUGAUCAAAUACUCAAGAAAAAGCAGAACUGGACAGUGACCGAUGCAGCUGCUAUUAAGCAGCACGUGAAGAGAGCUACAGAUACCUAUAAUUUAGGAAUUGCCCUUGAACACAGGAAAGAAAUGCUAAACCUCUGGCAGAAGAUCUGAGGGGAUUUGAUUGGAAUAGACACUAAAAAUGAGUCCUUUUAUGACACCUCUUCUACUUACAUCAUGGUCCUGGAAUGUUUGCCAAGAAUUACUUUCCACAAAGGACUUAAGGUUAUAUGAUGCCUACAUGAACAGAAAUUCCUUCCGCAGUUCUGUAUUCUCUUCCUUCUCUGAUAUCAGUGAAUGUGACAGAGAGACAGGAAGAAAAAGAACACGGAAAGGUCUCAAAGGGUUUUGAUGAUGAAAUUUCUACAUUUUCUAAACAUCUCACUGCGAACUACUUUUCAUAGAUACCAAAAUUAUAGUUUCUUGCUUUUGUCUAGUGCCUUCUUGGUGGCUUAAAUGUGACAUCUUUUGAUUUCUGACUAGUAAAAAAGUUUGAGUCAUAAUGUGGGUUCCCUUUCCUAAUUCUUACUGUUAGUAAGUAGAUGCCAUGCUGUUAUUGCCUAGCAAACAGCUGAGCUCUGCUGCCCCCAUCUGGCUCAAAACUGCCUGGGCAGGAGAAAAGCUAAAGCUCGCACUUGUGAACUCCUGAGGGCCCUCCCAGCAAUAGGCAUCCGAGUUCAUGUUAAGUGACAUUAGUUUCUCUUUAUUAUUUGUGAAACAGGCCAGGGGCAGUGGAAGACAAUGACUUUUCAGUUUCAGGGAAUAAUAUCAUCAUCCCCCAGGGAAUCUUGAUUAAAUUCAGGUGCUCCUUAGGCUCCUUAGCCACACAUCUUCAGACCAAUCUCUUAGAUUACUCUUAAAAAGAACUGAUCUCAUCCAUUAUAUUUGCUGUUGUUAUUGUUCUUUAAUGCAUUUAAGAAAUACAUGUGAAACUAUAUUACAAGUUGGGCGGACCGUAAUUUUUUUUGUUGAAAAAUAUACAUAAAAUCUAGUAUCUUAAUCAUG